AUUAUAAUAAUUUUUAUUAAAUUGUUCAUAGCCCACAAUUAUUUUUUAAAUUUAUCGACCAUGUCAACAACUUAGGACUUAAAAACCAUGUAAUAACAUCUUGGGUAAAUUUUAGGUUACACUAAUUUUUUAAACGUCAAAAUUUGGCCAUAAAUAACUUGUUGAACAUAUUUAUUUUCUUAGUGUAUAAAUGUAAUUAUUUUGAUGGGAAAUGUGGCACCUUCUUAUGGUUAAUUAUACUAAGAAGCCACAUUUUCUGAAUAUCAAAUCAGCUUGCCCAUUGUGACUGCAAGUCGGCAGAUGUUUGAAGACUACGUUCAGUCUGAAGCUUAUCAAGCAGUUAAUGAUUUUUUGUUAAAUUAAGUAAUCAUAAGUUUUCUCAGGGUUUUUACCUUUCCUCUGUAGUUGUAUGAUUCAUAUUUUUCAUGGUUUUGACAAUUUUGAACAUCGUAGAAAAUGUAGGCAUAUUAUGUACCAUUCAUGUGGUGAUUUAUUUGAUCAUAUUUUGUCAUCAUAUCAAAACCAUGUUGCCAUGAUUAUAAUUUUUGUAAUAUGUAGUCCAGCUUGUUCCCUUAAUUUAGUUGUUGUUGAUGCAAUGGAGCCUAUUUUUCACUGAUUCGUUGUUUCUGGGUAAGCAUUUUUAAUAUUUUGACCAGCUAAAUAUGGAUAUGUCCAUUUGUAAACUGGAAGAGGGAAUACUUUACUAUAAAUAUAAAGGCUUACUAGCUUCUAAAAGAGAAGAAAUUAUUCCACCAACUCACAGCUUCAAAGCAAGGCUUGUUUUCAAUAUUUUGUCCGCUUAAACGUUUCACAACUGUAUCAAUGAUAUUGUUGACUGUUUCCCAGGCUGAGAAUGAUUUCACAGAAAGACUGGGUUUCAGUGUUUGCUUUAGAGACACUUAGAAUUGUUUACAUGAAGUACUAUGUUGUGGUUUCUAGAUAGUGGGGAAAAAACUAAAAAUUGAACUCUUUUCUGUCCCUGUAGAAAAUGAUUGGACUGAAUUUUGAGAGUUCCAAGCCUCAGGAGGUGAUCAACUCAGCUUGUCGUAGAGUGUUGAAAAGAAAGAGGCCAAGCUCUGGCAAAUGGCAGUCUUUGGAGGAUCGUCUUCUGGAUUGUUACAUAGAAUCAUGCGAAGGGGCUCCUAAAGACAAGGUACUAAUUGGCUAAUUAUUUACAACUAAUAAAAACCUUUCAUUGUUUCUAAAGGGUGUGAUUUUAUUCUACACAAUAACUUUCAACAUGUUUCUGAGAGGGACACUUUCUUGAAUGGAUAUUCAAGUAACUUUUUGUUAAGAAGCGUUGGUCUCCACAUAU